rnacentral:tRNA from 1 species
AAAAUUUUAAGUUAAUUUUAAAACUAUAAAUCUUCAAAAUUUAAAAUAUAAAUUUAUUUAUAAAUUUUA